UAAGGAAUAUUGGACAAUGCCCGCAAGGGUGAUCCAGCCAUGCCGCGUGCAGGAAGACGGCCCUAUGGGUUGUAAACUGCUUUUACACCGGAGAAAACCCUCGCUCGUGAGCGAGGCUGAUAGUAUGGUGAGAAUAAGCAUCGGCUAACUUCGUGCCAGCAGCCGCGGUAAGACGAAGGAUGCAAGCGUUAUCCGGAUUCAUUGGGUUUAAAGGGAGCGUAGGUGGCCUAAUAAGUCAGUGGUGAAAUCUCUCGGCUUAACCGAGAAAUUGCCAUUGAAACUGGUAGACUUGAGUAUAGUUGCCGUUGGCGGAAUAUGACAUGUAGUGGUGAAAUACAUAGAGAUGUCAUAGAACACCGAUUGCGAAGGCAGCUAACGAAACUAUAACUGACACUGAGGCUCGAAAGUGCGGGGAUCAAACAGGAUUAGAUACCCCGGUAGUCC
rnacentral:rRNA from 1 species